UUUGUUUUGAGAUUAAAUUUUGAAGAGGCUCUGCCAGAGGUGGAGCCUUUAUUUUUAAAGAGGAUCAUUUUAGGGUUUCCUUUCUUGAUAGUUUCAUGAUAAAGCCCUUAAAAUGUGAUGAUAUAUCUUCUUGAUCGCUGCCUAAUACGAAUGAUUGGCUCGGCUUUCCUCAUAGAUCAAAAAACCAGAGUUGCAGGGUUCAGGGAAGUUAUGCAAAAAUAAAAUCGUAAAAGUAGACAGGAAUAUUUCACA
rnacentral:misc_RNA from 1 species